GGGCUCGUGAGGUAGUUAUCCAGGUUGGUUCCAACUUGGACUACAUUGGAUAUCCUACCGGCCUUCGGAGCCGGUUACCGGGGUUCGAAUCCCCGCGAGUCCG
rnacentral:tRNA from 1 species